rnacentral:lncRNA from 1 species
CAUGAACGCUACGCAGGAAAAUACCGACGAAAAAUGCCUAAAGUCUCUUCAGUAUUUCGCGAUACAUUUAUCGUGCAAACUCCGAGGAUUUUUGGCACCUUUUAUAGUUGGAGUUUCCUCAUGGAUGAAAAAUCUUUUGACCCGACAAAUAAAGCCGGUGCAAUCGUCGACAGACUUGGCCGAAUGCUCCCUCGUCGUUUCGUACUUCUCGAUUGCACUUGUCACAAAAGCAGUGAGAAUAUUUAGUCGUUCGAGCGCAGAAUCCUCUGUGGAAAAGAACGGAAGGAACAGAUUAACAAAAAAACGCACUUGAAAACAGUGUCCGGCCGUCGUCCGAGUCAUCAGAAUCAUCGUUGCUUUCAACUUUUUUAACGAUUUCCAAUUUCGGAAUGAAAAGAAGGAGACAGAUGAGAGCAAUGAAUUUAACAAUCAUCUUGAAAAUGACGAGC